rnacentral:rRNA from 1 species
CGCGUAGGCGGUGGUAUAAGUCUGGGGUGGAAUCCUAAAGCUUAACUAUAGGACUGCCCUGGAAACUGUAUUACUUGAGUCGGUGAGGGGAAGGCGGAAUUCCUGGUGUAGCGGUGAAAUGCGUAGAUAUCAGGAGGAAGGCCUGUGGUGAAGACGGCCUUCUGGCACUUGACUGACGCUGAGGCGCGAAAGCGUGGGGAGCAAACAGGAUUAGAUACCCUGGUAGUCCACGCCCUAAACGGUGGGCACUAGGUGUGGGAUCUGUAAGGGUUCUGUGCCGAAGGGAAACCAUUAAGUGCCCCGCCUGGGAAGUACGGCCGCAAGGUUGAA